CCACAAGCAGUGUGUUCUCUGCAGCAGAAGGUUGGAUCCAGGGGGAUGACUCCAGCUGAGGAAUCAUCCAGGAGCAGCAGCCGGAGGAGAAAUUGGCGGAAGUGGACCUGAGCCACCUGGAAAUCCUUCUAAGCAGACAUGAACAGUCUUCAGCUUUCUGACUCCCGCGUAACUGCCUCUGCGCUUCUAAAGGAAGCAUGGAGGAGCAGCAGCUGAAGGAGAAGGUGGCAGACGUGG